rnacentral:rRNA from 1 species
UACGGAGGGGGCUAGCGUUGUUCGGAAUUACUGGGCGUAAAGCGCACGUAGGCGGCUUUCUAAGUCAGGGGUGAAAUCCUGGAGCUCAACUCCAGAACUGCCUUUGAUACUGGAGAGCUUGAGUCCGGGAGAGGUGAGUGGAACUCCGAGUGUAGAGGUGAAAUUCGUAGAUAUUCGGAAGAACACCAGUGGCGAAGGCGGCUCACUGGCCCGGUACUGAUGCUGAGGUGCGAAAGCGUGGGGAGCAAACAGG